GGGGAUGUAGCUCAGUGUAGAAUACUUGCUUGCUAUGUGUGAGGUCCUGGGUUCAAUCCCCAGCACCACCA
rnacentral:tRNA from 1 species